CAGCCGCCGCGGUAAUACGAAGGGUGCAAGCGUUACUCGGAAUUACUGGGCGUAAAGCGUGCGUAGGUGGUGGUUUAAGUCCGUUGUGAAAGCCCUGGGCUCAACCUGGGAAUUGCAGUGGAUACUGGGUCACUAGAGUGUGGCAGAGGAUAGUGGAAUUUCCGGUGUAGCAGUGAAAUGCGUAGAGAUCGGAAGGAACAUCUGUGGCGAAGGCGACUAUCUGGGCCAACACUGACACUGAGGCACGAAAGCGUGGGGAGCAAACAGGAUUAGAUACCCCGGUAGUCCCUGUCUCUUAUAC
rnacentral:rRNA from 1 species